AGUGGGCUAUGCCGAUCGGAUGUUCUCACUAAGUUUGGCAUCAAUAUGGUUGCCUAAGGAGGGGUGAACCGGCCCAGGUCGGAGAUGGAGCAGGUAAAAACUCCCGUGCUGAUCAGUAAUGGGAUAGCGCCUGUGAAUAGCCGCU
rnacentral:SRP_RNA from 1 species